rnacentral:rRNA from 1 species
UACGUAGGUGGCAAGCGUUACUCGGAAUCACUAGGCGUAAAGCGCAGGUAGGAGGUUUAGUAAGUCUCUUGUGAAAGCUCCCGGCUUAACUGGGAGAGGUCAAGGGAAACUGCUAGGCUAGAGUGCGGUAGAGGUAGCUGGAAUUCCCGGUGUAGCGGUGAAAUGCGUAGAUAUCGGGAGGAAUACCUAUGGCGAAAGCAGGCUACUGGACCGUCACUGACUCUGAUCUGCGAAAGCUAGGGGAG